GAGAGGUCGAACAGUUGUAUCUAUUCCACGGUCUACAUGAGAGAGAGGUCGAACAGUUGUAUCUAUUCCACGGUCUACAUGAGAGAGAGGUCGAACAGUUGUAUCUAUUCCACGGUCUACAUCAGAGAGAGGUCGAACAGUUGUAUCUAUUCCACGGUCUACAUGAGAGAGAGGUCGAACAGUUGUAUCUAUUCCACGGUCUACAUCAGAGAGAGGUCGAACAGUUGUAUCUAUUCCACGGUCUACAUCAAAGAGAGGUCGAACAGUUGUAUCUAUUCCACGGUCUACAUCAGAGAGGGGUCGAACAGUUGUAUCUAUUCCACGGUCUACAUCAGGGAGGGUUCGAACAGUUGUAUCUAUUCCACGGUCUACAUCAGAGAGGGGUCAAACAGUUUUAUCUGUUCCACGGUUUCCAACAGAGAGGGGUUCGAUAUCGCACUUAUGUCAAAUCAAUUAAAACGUAGAUAUAAAUCAAAGCCACGAGUUUUAGGGAAGCCAAACCAUGUACGUUUGAGGACGACCGCAAGUAAUGAAGCGGAGGAGGUAAACUCAUCUUCAAUUUAAUAAUGGCUCCACUUUGAACUUCGAUGACUCCGAUGCCCUUUUUUAUUGCUGUUUCGAUACUAAAGCGGGAGUUCGAUUGUAAUAAAUCACACAUGUUUUCAAUAAAAGACACUUGAU